rnacentral:lncRNA from 1 species
UAAUUAAUUAAUUAAUUAAUUAAUUAAUUAAUUAAUUAAAUAAUUAAAAUAAAUAAAUAAAUAAAAUAUAACAAAUUAUUUUGGACUUGGGUCUCCCUCAUUCCAAGCCCAUUACCCACAAAAUUAGUCUAUAAAUACUGAAGUUUCAGUAGAGGAAAAGGACUUGGAGUUAGACUUGGAGGUUACACUGGGAGAUUCACUGGAG